UGGAGAGCUGUGAGGGGUGAUACUGACUGGGACCAUGGAGGGCUGGGAGGAGAGAUGGUGACUGGGGCCAUGAAGGGCUGUGAGGAGAUAUGGUGACUAGGAUCAUGGAGAGCUGUGAGGAGUGAUACUGACUGGAGCCAUGGAGGGCUGUGAGGGCUGAUACUGACUGGUGCCGUGGAGGGCUGUGAGUGGUUAUAUUGACUGGAAGCAUGGAGGGCUGUUAGUGGUGAUACUGACUGGAGCCAUCGAGGGCUGUGAGGAGAGAUGGUGACUGGGUUCAUGGAAGGCUGUGAGUGGUGAUACUGACUGGGUUCAUGGAGGACUAUGAGAAGUGAUACUGACUGGAGCCAUGGAGGGAUGUAAGGAGAUAUGAUGACUAGGUUCAUGGAGGGCUGGUGAUGAUGGAGACUGGGUUCAUGGAGGAAUGAUGGUGACUAGGUGGAGGACUGUGAGUGGUGAUGGUACUGGGCUGACUGGGGGCCUGUGUGUGAUGAUGGUGACUGGGAUGGAGGGCUGUGUGUUAUUAUGGUGACUGGGAUCAUGGAGGGCUGUGUGUUAUUACGGUGACUGGGAUCUGGGAUGGAGGGCUGUGUGUGUAUUAUGGUGACUGGGAUCAUGGAGGGCUGUGUGUUAUUACGGUGACUGGGAUCAUGGAGGGCUGUGUGUUAUUACGGUGACUGGGUUCAUGGAGGGCUGUGUGUUAUUACGGUGACUGGGUUCAUGGAGGGCUGUGUGUUAUUACGGUGACUGGGAUCAUGGAGGGCUGUGUGUUAUUACGGUGACUGGGAUCAUGGAGGGCUGUGUGUUAUUAUGGUGACUGGGAUCAUGGAGGGCUGUGUGUUAUUACGGUGACUGGGAUCAUGGAGGGCUGUGUGUUAUUAUGGUGACUGGGAUCAUGGGGGGCUGUGUGUUAUUACGGUGACUGGGAUCAUGGAAGGCUGUGUGUUAUUACGGUGACUAGGUUCAUGGAGGACUGUGAGUGGUGAUGGUGACUGGGCUCAUGGAGGGCUAUGGGGGCCUGUGUGUGAUGAUGGUGACUGGGAUCAUGGAGGG